CUCUGAGCCAUCAGCGUGUGCACCCACAGCCCUGUGGGUCGCAGCCGUCCCACGGCCCCGUCCACAUGCACACCGCAGCCCAUCUGUGCGCCCUGGGGCGGGAGCAGCCGCGUGGAGCAGCACAGAGGAGGAAUCCCUGAUGGCCGUUGGGGACUCACGGCACCCGACGGCGCUCCACGGCCCGUGGGCUGAGCUCCUGCGCUCCCCAGAGGGCUGUUUCCACGCACAGCGUGCACUGAGGGGUGGGCGAUCCUGGUUCUCAAACGAGAUCCCACGGCGGCGGCCAAAGGGCUCCGAUUGCGCGGUUAUGAUCGCAGAAUAAAUCACUUCGUCGGGAGGUUUUCCAUUCAGGAAGCCAGGCGUGGUGGAGCGGCACUGCCAUUUUGGUCAGAGCUGCAUUCCUGCUCUCCCUGCGUCACAAAACGCAUCUCCCAGACGUCGCGUCCCACGCCGGGGGUCCGCGAGCCCCUCGCCCAUCCCUCCGCCCGCCUGAUCCAACGAUAGGACAAUCGAUAAAGCGACGACCAGACCUGAGACAGCCAAAUGUCUUUAGCAGCAGGAGACGGCUGUUAAUCGAAUCACGCCGUGCAAUCGAUGUGAGCCCACGUUGGAACCAAACGCGACCCGGGAUGCUCGCUCCUACUUACAAAGCGGUUUUCUUGCAGCCCCUGCGGCUCUACCGGCGUUGCUUUCGGGGCUGCACUGCGGCCCAGCAGAGCUGCGCUGCUCCUGCUUUGCACUUCAGGCACUGCCCGGUGCUGGGAGAUGCUGGGCGAGCAAACAGAGGGGCUGGAGAGUCACGCAGGGUUGCAAGGCUGCUUUUGUGCACCGCGAGCUGCCUGCAGAACGGGGAGCGUGGAGAGGGGUCAGACCAACGCGUAUGGAAACGCCGUCCGUCAGGUUUCAGCUCGGGACAGGACUUCCCAACCUGGGCCAGAAAACACUGCAAAGCACAUCGCUCUGGGCCGAGAGCAACGCUUUGAGGAGACGGCACAGCUCAGGCAGCACGGCCUUGGGGCUGCGCUGGAAUGUGUUGGCCGUGCUUUUUGGGAGAGAGCUUUGGGAGCUCCUUCACCCAUAGAGCCGCAGAGCUUUGAUCCGUCCCGGAGUGAAAAGGAGCCCGUGGGGCUGAGUGCCGCGGCCCCAGCACAGAUGUGCCUCUAUUCACCCCUCGCUCGGGGUUCUGGCUGAGCGGCUGCGAGCUGACACCGAGCCCAGAGGGCAUGUUUGAGUUUGUGCUCAGCGCCCGCCCUCCUGCCAGCUGGGAGGAAGAGGAAGCUGGAAACUUGAACUCCGGGUGACAACAAUAAGCUUCUGGUGGUGCUGGCUGCUUCACAUCGCUCCCUGCAGCCCCUUCUGCUCCAUAUGUCGGCAGCGCGGGGCUGGGGGACGCCCCAGGGGUGCUCUGAGGAGAGGGGAGGGAAGGGGAGCCCCCGGAGCAGCGGUGUGGAAGCGCCGUAGGACUGCUGAAGGCAGAGCCGUGCCUGCAGAUGUGUGCUGAGCUGUGGAUCUGCGGCCGGCCCUCCUCGGGAUGGGCUCUGUCUGUGGGUGCUGAGAUAGGAGAGACGUCGUCACGACGAGGGCAGCUGCUGCAAAUGAGAGUUUCUGAAGGGAAACAGAAGCAAGAAAGGAAAGCAGAGCUGCCCGGGGUGCAAAGGGUGUCCCAAAGCGGUGCCGGUUGUGCUCAUCUCCCACCGACCUCAGCCCACGCGGCUCUGCUUGGAGCUCUGCCGUCCCCUCACCACCUCUCAGCCAUCCGAAGGGGAAAGCUGAGCCCACGCAAACCUGCCGGCCGUGGGGAAAACCCCUUCGGCAGCUCACGAUCCGAAAAGGGACCUCCAAAACACAGUCCUGGACUGGAAACGGGUUUGUCCUGGGAGGUGACCAACAGUCGUGGUCGCGGUGCUUUUAAUGUGUAGAGGGUUGGGGCGAAGGCAAGCAGGAGGCUGAACUGAAAAGGGCAGCUUCUAUUUGUGCAGCGUGGAAAAAACCAGGUCCUGGCAGCUGCUUCCCAGUCUGUGCAGCAUGGAAAAAACCAGGUCCUGGCAGCUGCUUCCCAGCUGGAACACACGCACUGCGCUCCCCACCCUGAGCAUGGGGGGCACGGAGCAUCCCUGCUGCUGCUCUGCCCGGGCAGGCUCACCCAUCACCCAGACGUCGUUGAGCAGCAGCUUCCUGCAAUUACGAGCAGCAGAACCCGCGUGCCAAUUAGCUGCACGCCAAUAUCCCCUGUUCAGCCCUUGAUCCAGGCCAGAGCUCAGCCCUGGGCUGCACGGAGCCACGCUGCUUCCUCCGAGCACCGCCCACGGCUGCAAGGAGCAGCUCUGGCCGUGGGGAUCUCCUCCUCCUCCCUGCAGCAGUGUGGGGGGCACAGCGGAGGGGAGCCUCUGCCCCCAUCCCGUGCGAGCUUCCAGGCCACCAAAAAGCUCUCUCAGGCGCCUCCAGGGCUCUGCUCACCUGUUGACUUCCGAAACGUUGUUGAUCCUCGCGGCUUCCAGCAGAGCAUCUUCUGAAAGCAAAGGAGAGAAGAUGAGUUAGGAGAUGCUCGGAGAGUCAAACAACGCAGGUUGGGAAGGAUUUAUUACUCCAAAGCUGCUUGCUGGCUGACUCAGGGCAGCCCCGCCGUUGGCGCUGGGCUGGGAGUAACGUGGGGCUGAUGCUCAACGCAUGCAGGGCUCAUAACCGUGGGGGGGGUCUGGCUGGAGCAGAGGGGAAGCAUCGCACCCGGGGAGCAUCUGGGCCAACAGCUAUGGAAACCAAGCUGGCACAGCCGGCAGCGGUUCCCAGCAGCAGCAGGAACGCUGUGCAGGCCGAGCAGGACAUCUCCUGGCCAGAAGGGGAAGGGCAGCAUCCCGGCUCUCGUCCCCAAAAGGGACGGCUCGUCAACACGCUGCGCGUCGGCCGCAGGGCUCCAAGAGGUGCUGCAACCCUCAGUGCCUCCUCUGCUGCUGCAGGAUGAGCUGCAACGCUCAGUGCCUCCUCUGCUGCUGCAGGAUGAGCUGCAACGCUCAGUGCUUCCUCUGCUGCUGCAGGAUGAGCUGCAACGCUCAGUGCCUCCUCUGCUGCUGCAGGAUGAGCUGCAACGCUCAGUGCCUCCUCUGCUGCUGCAGGAUGAGCUGCAACGCUCAGUGCCUCCUCUGCUGCUGCAGGAUGAGCUGCAACGCUCAGUGCCUCCUCUGCUGCUGCAGGAUGAGCUGCAACGCUCAGUGCUUCCUCUGCUGCUCAUCACGUGCAGCUCAUCAUGCGUGGGCCUUAAGGCAUCUUCCAGCAGGAUCUGCAUGGCUCAGAGCUGGGGAGCCCAGCGCUGCAGCUGUGGCCCCCCCAGCGCAGAGCAGAGGGGAGGAGAAGCGUUCUCACCCUGCAGCCCACGCUCUGUGCCGUGCAGCCCAGGGAGCCAUUGGCCUUCAUGGCCACCAGAGCACACUGCUGGCUCAUGGGCAACCAUUGGUCAACUCCUGAUGAA
rnacentral:lncRNA from 1 species